CCAGACUCCUACGGGAGGCAGCAGUGGGGAAUAUUGCACAAUGGGGGGAACCCUGAUGCAGCGACGCCGCGUGAGCGAUGAAGUAUUUCGGUAUGUAAAGCUCUAUCAGCAGGGAAGAAAAUGACGGUACCUGACUAAGAAGCCCCGGCUAACUACGUGCCAGCAGCCGCGGUAAUACGUAGGGGGCAAGCGUUAUCCGGAUUUACUGGGUGUAAAGGGAGCGUAGACGGCUGUGCAAGCCAGAUGUGAAAGCCCGGGGCUCAACCCCGGGACUGCAUUUGGAACUGCGUGGCUUGAGGGUCGGAGAGGCAGGCGGAAUUCCUAGUGUAGCGGUGAAAUGCGUAGAUAUUAGGAGGAACACCAGUGGCGAAGGCGGAUGACUGGACGGCAACUGACGGUGAGGCGCGAAAGCGUGGGGAGCAAACAGGAUUAGAUACCCUCGUACUC
rnacentral:rRNA from 1 species